rnacentral:rRNA from 1 species
UACGAAGGGUGCUAGCGUUGUUCGGAAUCACUGGGCGUAAAGCGCGCGUAGGCGGCUAUCCAAGUCAGAGGUGAAAUGCCGGGGCUUAACCCCGGAACUGCCUUUGAAACUGUUUAGCUUGAGACUCGGAGGGGAUAGGGGAAUUUCUAAUGUAGCGGUGAAAUGCGUAGAUAUUAGAAGGAACACCGGUGGCGAAGGCGCCUAUCUGGACGAGUACUGACGCUGAGGCGCGAAAGCGUGGGGAUCAAACAGG